ACUGGAUUUAAAGGCUUGUGCCUGUAAUGCUAGUUUUGUAGGACGAGAGGCUAAGCUGUUGUCAGAGUUCAGGGCUGCACCCUGGUGUGCUGAGCAUGUCUCUGUGCUAAGAUUGGCAUCAAUAUGGUGAUUGCUGGGAAAUUUGGGGUCCCCAGGUUGCCUAAGGAGGAGCAAACCAGCUCAGGUUAGAAAUGGAGCAGGUCAAAACUCUGCUGCUGAUUGAUAGUGGGAUUACACCCGUGAACAGCUGCUGUAACAACGCCUAGGCAGGACAGUGAGAGCCAGUCUCUUU
rnacentral:SRP_RNA from 1 species